rnacentral:lncRNA from 1 species
UAUGGUUUGAGAAUGCUUAUUUAAGAAAUAUAGUAAAAGGCUCUCAAAUAGUUACGUAUGACCCCUAAAAGUGGAAAAGAUCGACAUUCGGAGCUAGCAUCUAUACAAUCCUAUCAGCGGAUAAUAAUAGUUGGCAUAUAAUCCUUCCAAUGGAUAAUAAUUGUUGACAUAUGAUCCUACUAAUGGAUAAUAAUAGUUGGUAUAUGACCCUACC